AGGCACCGACGAGAUUCGAACUCGUGAUCUCCUGUUUACUAGACAGGCGCUUUAAUCAACUACGCCAGCGCC
rnacentral:tRNA from 1 species